UCCGGGAUCGUCUAACGGUAGGACACGUGGCUCUGGACCACGGUAUCGGGGUUCGAAUCCCUGUCCCGGAACCA
rnacentral:tRNA from 1 species